rnacentral:tRNA from 1 species
GGAGGAAUGGCCGAGUGGUCGAAGGCGGCAGUCUUGAAAACUGUUGUACCGCAAGGUACCGUGGGUUCAAAUCCUACUUCCUCCGCCA